rnacentral:rRNA from 1 species
UACGUAGGGUGGGAGCGUUGUCCGGAAUUAUUGGGCGUAAAGAGCUCGUAGGCGGUCUGUCGCGUCUGCUGUGAAAACUCGGGGCUUAACCCCGGGCCUGCAGUGGGUACGGGCAGACUAGAGUGCGGUAGGGGAGACUGGAAUUCCUGGUGUAGCGGUGAAAUGCGCAGAUAUCAGGAGGAACACCGGUGGCGAAGGCGGGUCUCUGGGCCGUAACUGACGCUGAGGAGCGAAAGCGUGGGGAGCGAACAGG